ensembl:lncRNA
AGUUAGCAUAAUCGGAGAAAAACCUGAAAUCUUUUUCCAGGACAAGCAGUACAGAAGUAUGCUCUCUGAUAGGGACUAAAACCUGUGGAAAUCAGUCUGGGCUGUGACGGGACCCCUGCGGGGGAGGCUGGCUGUGCAGAACAGUGACCUCCAAAGAUGUUCACGUCUUGGAACCUGUGACACUGUUGGCCUGCACGGUAACAAGACCUGGCGUAUGUGACUCAGUUAAAGAUCUUGAGAUGAGGUUGAGGGGGGAGGCUUAUCCCAGAUUAUCCCGUGGGCCCUGGGAGAGAGGAGGGAGAAAAGGAACCAGAGAUGGCGAAAUGAGAAGACGUAGCUGGCCGUUACUGUCUUUAAAGGUGGAAGCAGGACAUGAGUCCAGGAGCUGGGCAGGCUGUAGACGCUGGAAAACCCAGCCUGUGGGAGCUCCCCGGAGCCUCCAGAAAGGAACCCAGCCUGCCCACACCUGGACUUUAGCCCAGUGAGGCCUGUUUUGGACACUGAUAGGCAGAACUGUAACAGAAUGCAUGGGACUUGUCUUAUGACACCGUUUGUAGGAAUUGGUUACUGCAGACAUAGUGAACGAAUAUAGACAUUUAACUAGACUGUGGAGUCUAUUUUCACAUUUAUUAAGUUAGUGAAUGGCUCAUAGUUCCCUCCCACCUGGUCAGAGGAGCACAGUCUGACAGCUAAGACUUUACACCGGAAACAGCCUGACGGCCUGUCCUCUGGUCAGACCAUGCUCCCCUGACCUCUGACCCCGCUGCCACGUGACAUCAGUGGGAUGGGGGUGCAGCCAGAGCCCUCGAGACCUGCAGGCUUCAGCUGCUUCCCCAGCAUGUUCUGCCAGGUUCCCCCGCUGCAGUGGGGCGUGUCUGCUGGCAUGGAGACAGGUCCCAGCAGAGAAGGCUGGCGGACCUGACCCCAGCCCCAGCCCCACUUUCUGCCUCAGGCUCCACAGCCAUUCCCAGGAGAGUCCUCGGGGGAAAGCAGGGCAAGACGACUGGAAGGCAGCACACACAGCAGGCAGAGGGCAAAGGGACGAAAAGCCCAGGCCUCUGGGUUGCAGAGCGCGGACGCCCCUCUCUGUGCCACUUCCAGUGCUCAGGCCCGGUGCCAGAAACCUCACUGAACUCUCCUGAUAGCCCUCGGCGGUGCUGCUAGGGCUGUUUCCCAGCAGAGGGAGGAGGGCCGCGAGAGGAGGCUUGCUCAGCCUCCGCUCCCUGCCAGCCAACCCCCGUUUCAUGCAGGUCUCUCCAACCCCAAUGACAUGAGCCGUCUUCAUCAUUUACGCAAGAUCCAGGCAGACACAGUGUUAAGUUUGACUUAAAUAAAAGUAUUUCGCCAUACACGGAAAAACAUUAUCACUUGCCACAAAUAGCUGGUAACCACAAAAAUCUCAAUAAAAAGUGAGACUAGCAAGUAUUAAAAAGGGAGAGUCAUAACUUCACCCCCUAAGAUUCACUGAAUUAGAAUUAAAAAGGCACAGGAAUUCCCUGGCCAGCCAAUGGUUAGGACGUGGGCUUUUACUGCGGUGAACCGGGAUUUAAUCCCUGGUCAGGGAUCACAGUUCGAUCCAAGCUGUGCAGCCAAAAAAAUAAAAAUGUUAAAACAAAAAAAAAGGAUUAAAAAGGCAGCAAUGUUCUCACUAUGUGGAUCAACGUUAUUUGGUUGUGUGUCAGUGCACCACCUCCAAGGUGCCAGCAAAAUCAUCUGUCCCUCUGUCCCCAGAAAUCAACCUGGAGAUGAAAUAACAAGCAUACCAGUGUGCUUGGCAACAAUCGGAAAGGGAGGUCAUUCCAAAUGCUGGUGAGAACGUGGGAAUAUAAGACCAGAGACGAAGCCAGUUAGCUUACAAGGGGGCCUCCUUCAACAGGGCCUUUGGUUGGCUUCGAUUGUGAUUGGUUUGGAUCUUCGGGUCACGGCUCUGAAGUGCACCCUAGACCCUGGGAAUGCUAUUGCUUACAAUCAGCAUCAUAAUCUUCAUCGUGCAUUGUAUUCUCUCAAAAGCUUUAAAUGCAUGUUUGCAGCCACUAACCAGCAAGCAAAUGAUCUCCCUGAGACUGAAACGUCAGGAAAAGAGCUCUGAGCGCUCAGCUGAGGCUGGAGCACAUGAUGGGUGCGUGGCUCCACAGGGUCCCCGAGCGACUGCCUCCCUCUAUACUCAGCAGUCUUCUCAAGGUGUGGAGAAGGCAGAGGCAGGCUUGACCUGGACUUGGGGGUUCAAAGGUCCGAUGUGAAAGACUUCAAAGCAAGGAGGGAGCAGAAGCGUUGGAAACCAAGAGGCUGAGAUGAUCAAGCCUGGAUGAAGAAAUGAGGGGUCAAGGGACAGGCGGUGAAAGAGCAAGGGUCAGGGGGUUGGAGUGAGAGAGCGGGCGGGCCGGCAGGCAGGCCAGGGCCCACACAGCACAAGCUGAGAUGCAGCGUCCGCCCCAGAUCUUGUAUGUGUCACUGCACAGGCCCAUGGAUGGAAAUCUAACUCAAGCUAUGUUAAGCCUCAGGGUCUGCGCGGCUCACCCUGCAAGUGGGGCAAGGCUGGCUGGGUCUGGGGUCGUAAACGGCCACCUCAGGAGUCUCUGCCAGCUGACCUGUCCUCUGUGCUGGCUUCAGCCUCCGGUGGACACUUCUCAUGAGGUGGCAAAGAUGACGCAGAGACCCAGGACCAAGCCUCUUUCCUGUUAUUUCCCGUAAAGGUGCAGGACUAAGUGUCACUGGGCUGUCCGCUCACAUUUCUGCACCAAUCACUAUUCUGGGGAUGAGGGGACACUUUGACUGGCCAGGCCAGGGUCCCGUGUCCAUCCCUGAAACAAAGCUGAGGGAGGGCCAACCCAUCUAAGCCAUGUGGUGCCCAGAGAGGGAAGGGUGGUUCUCUACACAAAAUGAGAGGGAGGGGCGUCAGGAGGUGAGAAGGGUGCUGGGCAGGCAUAACAAUCAAGUCUACUGCUGUGGCCUCACCGACCUUCAUGCGCCUUGGAGACUGGCCUGCUACAUCAUCUUCUGCUGAAACAGAAGGAACCCCCUGACUCUGCGGCCAGGUCCAGUUUCUUUGCACGCUGGACCUGCGGUCUAGGCCUGGAAAGGCAUUUGCUCAAUUUGUGAUUUUGGACAAACUCCAUCCUCCUUUAGGACCUCCGUUUCCGCACC